UCCCCCUGGCAAUGGACAAAGAGAUGUCUUGUUGUUGCUGUUCUUAUAUCAGUCAGGAGCAGAGCAGGUGGCAGGCCUUUGUUCAUCUUACCUUGAUGCAUGGCUUGGUGGCCAAAUCUGUCUUAUGCUUAGGACUCAUGA